rnacentral:rRNA from 1 species
UACGUAGGGGGCAAGCGUUGUCCGGAAUCAUUGGGCGUAAAGCGCGCGUAGGCGGCCCGGUAAGUCCGUUGUGAAAGUCAAAGGCUCAACCUUUGAACGCCGAUGGAUACUGCCGGGCUAGAGUCCGGAAGAGGCGAGUGGAAUUCCUGGUGUAGCGGUGGAAUGCGCAGAUAUUAGGAAGAACACCGAUAGCGAAAGCACUCUGCUGGGCCUGAACUGACACUGAGAGACGAAAGCUAGGGGAGCAAAAAGG